GGAGGGUUACGGCCCGGAGGAGAGAAGUUGGGUACCUGCUAGGGACAUUCUGGAUCACUCCCUUAUCGAUGAUUUCAAUCGACAGUGUUUGUGUGGGCGUGGUUCCCAAUCUCGGCCUGAUUGUCUGCGCCAGCUGGAACCACUUAUCUUCCCUUUAUAUGUUCUGUUACCAGUGUUUCUUGUUGUCAGAUCGUUGUUUCUUCUCUGAGGUUGUGUCGUGUGUCCGUGCUCUUCUCUUGUGUGGAUUAUCUGCUGUGCUCCUUCCUACUCAUCCGGACACACUCCCCUGGUUUUCUCAGCACGUUAUCAUCGGAAGAUGCGCCCGAGUUCCUGGGUCGGAUUCCUUCUGAGUACAGUCUGUCUGUCAUGUUGCUGCUGUGAACUACAUUCAUUAAACCAUCGUUGCUUGCAUCUUG